CAUCGCCUCUUGCAUAACCACAGUAUAAGAGGUCCCGCCUGCCCAGUGACAACUUAGUUCAACGGCCGCGGUAUUUUGACCGUGCAAAGGUAGCGUAAUCACUUGUCUUUUAAAUGAAGACCUGUAUGAAUGGCAUAACGAGGGCUUAACUGUCUCCUUCCCCUGGUCAAUGAAAUUGAUCUCCCCGUGCAGAAGCGGGGAUAAAACCAUAAGACGAGAAGACCCUAUGGAGCUUUAGACACACAGGUGGCCCAUGUCAAAUACCCCCAGCUAAGGGCCUGAACUAAAUGGAACCUGCCUUGAUGUCUUCGGUUGGGGCGACCAUGGGGAAUACAAAACCCCCACGUGGAAAGGGAGCACACCCCUAAGUUACUUCUUCUCCCGCAAGCCAGAGCAACAGCUCUAACAAGCAGAAAUUCUGACCAAACUGAUCCGGUAAAACCGAUCAACGAACCAAGUUACCCUAGGGAUAACAGCGCAAUCCCCUUUUAGAGCCCAUAUCGACAAGGGGGUUUACGACCUCGAUGUUGGAUCAGGACAUCCUAAUGGUGCAGCCGCUAUUAAGGGUUCGUUUGUUCAACGAUUAAAGUCCUACGUGA
rnacentral:rRNA from 1 species